rnacentral:lncRNA from 1 species
ACUUCAGGAGUCAACUCGGACUGACUUCGAGUCGACUUGACUGAUCUUCCAAGACUAUCACUCACUCUUCCAAGCUAAUCUAUCCAUAAAAAUGGUCUAAGUUCAGAUUCGGAGUUCCAGCCGGCACAAUGAUCAUCCAAGACACCACCACCACCGUAACCAUCCAAGGCACCAUCGAUAUCACCACCAUUAUUACCAUCAUCGCCACCAUUAGAGCAAACUAAUUGAGAUAGUACUUACAAUCCGAAUACUAAUCUCAUAAGCAAACUAAAGUGUCAGUCUGCUCCAAUAAUCUCAGAUACAGUUCUAGCGAAGAACAAUCCAGUCAGUCUGUUCCAGCAUCACCAACAGCACAACUACCGUCCGAGCAUCAAGAUGUAAAUAUUCAAUCCAGUCGUUAAACCACAGGGGAUAGCACUAAAAGUGCCAUUCAAAAUGGCACUUU